UACGUAGGUGACCAGCGUUGUCCGGAUUUACUGGGCGUAAAGAGCGCGCAGGCGGUCGUUCAAGUCGAGUGUGAAAGCCCCCGGCUCAACUGGGGAGGGUCACUUGAUACUGAUCGACUCGAAGGCAGGAGAGGGAAGCGGAAUUCCCGGUGUAGUGGUGAAAUGCGUAGAUAUCGGGAGGAACACCAGUGGCGAAGGCGGCUUCCUGGCCUGUUCUUGACGCUGAGGCGCGAAAGCUAGGGGAGCAAACGGGAUUAGAUAC
rnacentral:rRNA from 1 species